GAGCCAGAAUGCCGCAGAGCCAGCUGCAUCGCUAGUUUGCAAGAAAAUCAAAGCCGUGGAUGCCCCAGAUGUGCCAACAGUUCUCAAUGAGAAAGAGGUGUGCUAACAGAAAUUGUACCUGAGUAUAAUAAUAAAAAUACUACAUUUAGGUGACACUGUAUAUUUUAUACACAUAUUUGUGAGAAAA